rnacentral:misc_RNA from 1 species
UGGCUGUUGCCAAGAGCAACAGCAACACUGAAUCAUCAUUUUAUACAUCAUGUUGCUAUAAAGUUGCAAACUUGAGUGGGACCAUUUUGGAUGCAAGUCAUACUGCUAAUCUGUAUGAUCGUUACAUUCUUGGAGAACAGCUGGGCUGGGGGCAGUUUGGGAUAAUCAGGACAUGCUCUGACAAGUUUAACGGAGAGGUGUUGGCCUGCAAAUCAAUUGCAAAAAAUAGAUUGGUGACUCAGGAGGAUGUGCGAAGUGUCAAGCUUGAAAUUGAAAUAAUGACCAGGCUUUCUGGCCACCCAAAUGUUGUAGAUCUCAAG